GAUGAACGCUGACAGAAUGCUUAACACAUGCAAGUCUACUUGAACUUCGGUUUGGGUGGCGGACGGGUGAGUAACGCGUAAAGAACUUGCCUCACAGUUAGGGACAACAUUUGGAAACGAAUGCUAAUACCUGAUAUUAUGAUUUUAGGGCAUCCUAAGAUUAUGAAAGCUAUAUGCGCUGUGAGAGAGCUUUGCGUCCCAUUAGCUAGUUGGAGAGGUAACGGCUCACCAAGGCGAUGAUGGGUAGCCGGCCUGAGAGGGUGAACGGCCACAAGGGGACUGAGACACGGCCCUUACUCCUACGGGAGGCAGCAGUGGGGAAUAUUGGACAAUGGACCAAAAGUCUGAUCCAGCAAUUCUGUGUGCACGAUGACGUUUUUCGGAAUGUAAAGUGCUUUCAGUUGGGAAGAAAAAAAUGACGGUACCAACAGAAGAAGUGACGGCUAAAUACGUGCCAGCAGCCGCGGUAAUACGUAUGUCACAAGCGUUAUCCGGAUUUAUUGGGCGUAAAGCGCGUCUAGGUGGUUAUGUAAGUCUGAUGUGAAAAUGCAGGGCUCAACUCUGUAUUGCGUUGGAAACUGCAUGACUAGAGUACCGGAGAGGUAAGCGGAACUACAAGUGUAGAGGUGAAAUUCGUAGAUAUUUGUAGGAAUGCCGAUGGGGAAGCCAGCUUACUGGACAGAUACUGACGCUAAAGCGCGAAAGCGUGGGUAGCAAACAGGAUUAGAUACCCUGGUAGUCCAAGGGCGAAUUCCACAGUGGAUAUCAAGCUUAUCGAUACCGUCGACCUCGAGGGGGGGCCCGGUAACCCAGCUUUUGUUCCCUUUAGUGAGGGUUA
rnacentral:rRNA from 1 species